AUGCUUGUGGUGGUUGGCCACAUCCCAGCAGCGUGUGGGAGCCGCUGUUUUCAGUCAGAGCUGGGUCUCCUUGCCAUUCAUCAACAGCCUGUCUGCAUAAAGAUGAAGGCGGUGAAGAGGAUACAUGAGCGGUCAAGUCGGCGUGAGGUGGAGAAGAUGUGGCGUUUCUGUCGGCGGCGCUGGGCUAGCAACAUCAGGCAGUGGACUACGGGGAGCUGCCGCGGGUGGUGGCUACAGUUUCCACGAGAGUGGGGUGGGGGUGGCACACGUGGGGGCGACGACAGCAAGUGGAUCCACACAGCUGAGAUGCACAACAACUCCGAGAAGGCCACAACAACAGAGGAGUGGGAUCGGCGAGAAGAUUGA
rnacentral:rRNA from 1 species